UGGGGAAUUUUGGAUAAUGGGCGCAAGCCUGAUCCAGCCAUGCCGCGUGCGGGAAGAAGGCCUUCGGGUUGUAAACCGCUUUUGUCAGGGAAGAAAUCUUCUGAGUUAAUACCUCGGGAGGAUGACGGCAUCCUGAAGAAUAAGCACCGGCUAACUACGUGCCAGCAGCCGCGGUAAUACGUAGGGUGCAAGCGUUAAUCGGAAUUACUGGGCGUAAAGCGUGCGCAGGCGGUUUUGUAAGACAGAGGUGAAAUCCCCGGGCUCAACCUGGGAACUGCCUUUGUGACUGCAAGGCUUGAGUGCGGCAGAGGGGGGAUGGAAUUCCGCGUGUAGCAGUGAAAUUGCGUAGAUAUGCGGAGGAAACACCGAUGGCGAAGGCAAUCCCCUGGGCCUGCACUGACGCUCAUGCACGAAAGCGUGGGGAGCAAAACAGGAUUAGAUACCCUGGUAGUCC
rnacentral:rRNA from 1 species